rnacentral:rRNA from 1 species
ACUACGGGAGGCAGCAGUGGGGAAUAUUGGGCAAUGGGCGCAAGCCUGACCCAGCAACGCCGCGUGAAGGAAGAAGGCUUUCGGGUUGUAAACUUCUUUUGUCAGGGACGAAGCAAGUGACGGUACCUGACGAAUAAGCCACGGCUACCUACGUGCCAGCAGCCGCGGUAAUACGUAGGUGGCAAGCGUUAUCCGUAUUUACUUGGUGUAAAGGGCGUGUAGGCGGGACUGCAAGUCAGAUGUGAAAACCACGGGCUCAACCUGUGGCCUGCAUUUGAAACUGGAGUUCUUGAGUACAGGGGAGGCAGACGGAAUUCCUAGUGUAGCGGUUGAAUGCGUAGAUAUUAGGAGGAACACCAGGGGCGAAGGCGGUCUGCUGGACAGCAACUGACGCUGAGGCGCGAAAGCGUGGGGAGCAAACAGGAUUAGAUACCCUUGUAGUC